rnacentral:misc_RNA from 1 species
UUGUGGCAUCCGUGUCCAGGUC